UAAGAUCCAGCACUUUUCUAUGAAAGAAGAUACUCCUUUGCGCUCCAUUUUCUUUCCAAACUGCUUGGUUCUUCUUCUAUUUCCGAUUCUUAGCUUAAAUCUUUAGAUGGUUCUUCUUCUUCCUCCUCUUUUUUUCCCAUUAUUUUUGCUGUAAUAAUGGGGCGUUCCUUUCAAUUUCUUCCAGCCAUCUGUCUAUUUCAAUUUUUGCAGGGAAAACUGAUCAAACAAUGGAUUGGCGCAAUCAUGUCUCUUUCUGUGCCCACAGUAAAUACCAAGAUGAAGCAUGUGUUGUUAGCUGCACCUCUUGAACUCCAGAUUUUAUCAAAUCUUUUGAUUGUUUUGGUCUUUCUAGCAAACUAAAGAAUGUACUUGUACAACUUUGUUCCGCAAUUACAUCUCUACAUGUGUGAUGUACUUUAUGUUAAUAUUAAGCACAUUA